GUUCAGGGGAGAUGAUAAGCCCCCAGCCCAGUUGGGCUCUAGUAGGGAUUAUAAUGUGGACAUGGUCCCUAAGUUUAUGAUGGCCAAUGGAACUCUAGUGCGUGUCCUCAUUCAUACAGAUGUUACCAAGUAUUUGUCCUUCAAAGCUGUGGAUGGCAGUUUUGUCUAUAAUAAAGGAAAGGUUCACAAGGUUCCAGCAAAUGAUAUGGAGGCACUUAAAUCUCCACUCAUGGGUCUAUUUGAAAAGCGCCGUGCAUGCAAGUUCUUCAUA